GCCUGAGUGGCUCAGCGGUUGAGUGCCUGCUUUUGGCUCAGGGAGUGAUCCCGGAUUCUUGGGUUUGAGUCCCACAUCAGGCU
rnacentral:tRNA from 1 species